rnacentral:rRNA from 1 species
CACCGCCCGUCACACCAUGGGAGUUGGUUUCACCCGAAGGCAGUGCGCUAACCGCAAGGAGGCAGCUGACCGCGGUGGGAUCAGCGACUGGGGUG